GCCGUUCUCAUGGGGAGUCUCCGGACUGAGAUCGUGUCUGCACAUGCAGCACACGGGACCCAUUGAACCUGAACCAGGUCAUGCUGGCGUAGGAAUUGAGAAACUGAAAGCAC
rnacentral:ncRNA from 2 species